UACUUUUCAUAGACAUUACCAGAGACAGUAGCAGCCGAGGGCAACCAACGCUUAAUCCGCUACCGAGGAGUGAAACAAACAUUCAUUCAUUUGUAAGUCUUUGGUAGUGCGAGAACCCGAGACUUAUUUUAUUUCUCG
rfam:Candidatus Saccharibacteria bacterium GW2011_GWC2_48_9 TY35_C0001, whole genome shotgun sequence.